CCAUGAUAUCCUGGCUUUUUGUCAUUUCAUUCGUAUAAUUUUUUUAUUUUGUCAAUGCAGCUAGGUACAACAUUGGUGCAGUUAUCUUGCUCUGGGCACCUGUAGUCUUGAUUGCAUUGUGGAAUAUGCAUCCAUUAUUCAAAGAAAUGGCGACAUUCCAAGCACUCACACUUUCUCUCCUUGCUAGCUAAAUUGGCUGACAAGCUAAAGAAGUCAGUGGAGGAUGAAAUUCAUUUUCUCAAGGGAAGGGUUUCAAAACUUGAAAGUGAUCUUGUAUCGAAGUCUACAGAAGUUACAUCUGCAGUUUCAAGGAAAGAAGAAGCUCUAUCUUC